UCUUUUUUUCUUAGCAAUUUUCCCUCUCUUUGUUUCAAUCUAGCUCUAGGGUUUCUCAUUUUUUUCUUUUCAACUGCUGAACUGAUUUCUUCUCCGAUAAGGCUAUACGAAGAAUUAAGAAAAUAAUUCAUGUAAUUCUUUUCUUAAUUACAAAGAAUUAAGGCUGGUAAAGAUUGGGACUGAUCUAUUCCCACUAAUUCAUGUCAUCAUCUUCUCUGCACUGUCCGUGCCUUUUCUAGUCUACUUCGAAUCCAUCUUUUACUUCUUCCAGCAUUUCGUUUGUUUGUCUUCUUCGAAAUUGACGGGCUCGCAAGGAUAAAAUUGUUGAAUAUACAUCUUGGAGAACCGUAUCUUUAUUAUUGAAAGGAGUCGCUGGCGGAUCUAGAACAGAACUCAAGGAUGUGAUUUAUAACAUCGACAACCAUAUUUUCGUGUUUGGGAUUCUUGGGUUCACUAUGCGGUGGCACUUCUAAGUUCUGCACCUAAAUUGGUUGGUUUGCUGUCUGAGCUUGGUGAAGCCUUUAGCGGCUUGGUAACAAAGUUAAUCCCCUGCUACAAGAUAUGCGCAUUAUGAAAUUCCACUAACUACAGCUGGAUGAACAUGCAUAAUUCAACAAUCCAGCAGUACAAGUACUACGGGAAGAAGAUAUUUUUAAAAUUGCUUGUAGAAUUAGAAUACAAUGACUUUACUUAUAUGUAUAAUGUUUUUGACUAUUAGUAGAGAUACGCAAAAGUAUUUAGUUUUGUAGGAAGUGGUAAAUAUCUAGUCCAUCAAUCUUAUGUAUUGACGUUUGCAAAUUCAUAUAAAUUUUAGUUUAAA